rnacentral:rRNA from 1 species
CAGUCGAACGGAGCCUUAACCAAAGAAGCAGCCAGCUUGCUGGAAGCGGAAAAGGGAAAGGCUUAGUGGCGGACGGGUGAGUAACGCGUGGGUAACCUGGCCCAUACAGGGGGAUAACACUUAGAAAUAGGUGCUAAUACCGCAUAACAACAGAAAGCGCAUGCUUUUUGUUUGAAAACCAAGGUGGUAUGGGAUGGACCCGCGUCUGAUUAGCUGGUUGGCGGGGUAAAGGCCCACCAAGGCGACGAUCAGUAGCCGGCCUGAGAGGGUGGACGGCCACAUUGGGACUGAGACACGGCCCAAACUCCUACGGGAGGCAGCAGUGGGGAAUAUUGCACAAUGGGGGAAACCCUGAUGCAGCGACGCCGCGUGAGUGAAGAAGUAAUUCGUUAUGUAAAGCUCUAUCAGCAGGGAAGAAAAUGACGGUACCUGAGUAAGAAGCCCCGGCUAACUACGUGCCAGCAGCCGCGGUAAUACGUAGGGGGCAAGCGUUAUCCGGAUUUACUGGGUGUAAAGGGAGCGUAGACGGCAGUGCAAGUCUGGAGUGAAAGGCGGGGGCUCAACCCCCGGACUGCUCUGGAAACUGUACGGCUGGAGUGCAGGAGAGGUAAGUGGAAUUCCUAGUGUAGCGGUGAAAUGCGUAGAUAUUAGGAGGAACACCAGUGGCGAAGGCGGCUUACUGGACUGUAACUGACGUUGAGGCUCGAAAGCGUGGGGAGCAAACAGGAUUAGAUACCCUGGUAGUCCACGCCGUANACGAUGAUCACUAGGUGUCGGGGGUNAAAGA